rnacentral:rRNA from 1 species
AUGCAAGUCGAACGGGCUCUUCGGAGCAAGUGGCGGACGGGUGAGUAACGCGUGAGAAUGUGCCUUGAGGAUGGGGAUAACAAUAGGAAACUAAUGCUAAGACCCAAUGUGCCUUAAGUGGUGAAAAAUGAAAAUUGCCUGAAGAGGAGCUCGCGUCUGAUUAGCUAGUUGGGGUGGUAAAAGCGCACCAAGGCGACGAUCAGUAGCUGGUCUGAGAGGAUGAGCAGCCACACUGGGACUGAGACACGGCCCAGACUCCUACGGGAGGCAGCAGUGGGGAAUUUUCCGCAAUGGGCGAAAGCCUGACGGAGCAAUACCGCGUGAGGGAGGAAGGCUCUUGGGUUGUAAACCUCAAAACUUAGGGAAGAAAAAAAUGACGGUACCUAAUUUAAGCAUCGGCUAACUCCGUG